GACGAACGCUGGCGGCGUGCUUAACACAUGCCAGUCGAACGGAAAGGCCCUGCUUUUGUGGGGUGCUCGAGUGGCGAACGGGUGAGUAACACGUGAGUAACCUGCCCUUGACUUUGGGAUAACUUCAGGGAACUGGGGCUAAUACCGGAUAGGAGCUCCUGCUGCAUGGUGGGGGUUGGAAAGUUUCGGCGGUUGGGGAUGGACUCGCGGCUUAUCAGCUUGUUGGUGGGGUAGUGGCUUACCAAGGCUUUGACGGGUAGCCGGCCUGAGAGGGUGACCGGCCACAUUGGGACUGAGAUACGGCCCAGACUCCUACGGGAGGCAGCAGUGGGGAAUAUUGCACAAUGGGCGGAAGCCUGAUGCAGCAACGCCGCGUGCGGGAUGACGGCCUUCGGGUUGUAAACCGCUUUCGCCUGUGACGAAGCGUGAGUGACGGUAAUGGGUAAAGAAGCACCGGCUAACUACGUG
rnacentral:rRNA from 1 species